GAUGAACGCCGGCGGUGUGCCUAAUACAUGCAAGUCGAACGCGUUGGCCCAACUGAUUGAACGUGCUUGCACGGACUUGACGUUGGUUUACCAGCGAGUGGCGGACGGGUGAGUAACACGUAGGUAACCUGCCCCAAAGCGGGGGAUAACAUUUGGAAACAGAUGCUAAUACCGCAUAACAGUUUGAAUCGCAUGAUUCAAACUUAAAAGAUGGUUUCGGCUAUCACUUUGGGAUGGACCUGCGGCGCAUUAGCUUGUUGGUAGGGUAACGGCCUACCAAGGCUGUGAUGCGUAGCCGAGUUGAGAGACUGAUCGGGCCACAAUGGAACUGAGACACGGUCCAUACUCCUACGGGAGGCAGCAGUAGGGAAUAUUGCACAAUGGGCGAAAGCCUGAUGCAGCGACGCCGCGUGAGCGAUGAAGUAUUUCGGGUAU
rnacentral:rRNA from 1 species